rnacentral:tRNA from 1 species
CGAAGCAUAGCAUAUCUAAUGCUUUUUACUUACACUAAAAAUAAAACACGCUUGUUUGCUUCGCU